rnacentral:rRNA from 1 species
UACGUAGGGGGCAAGCGUUGUCCGGAUUCAUUGGGCGUAAAGAGCUCGUAGGCGGUCAGUCGCGUCUGCUGUGAAAACUCGGGGCUUAACUCCGGGCCUGCAGUGGGUACGGGCUGACUAGAGUGCGGUAGGGGAGACUGGAAUUCCUGGUGUAGCGGUGAAAUGCGCAGAUAUCAGGAGGAACACCGGUGGCGAAGGCGGGUCUCUGGGCCGUAACUGACGCUGAGGAGCGAAAGCGUGGGGAGCGAACAGG